rnacentral:rRNA from 1 species
GGGUCAGUAGGUUGGUCGUGCCACCGGUACGUACUGGUCUCACUGAUUCCUCCUUCCUGAAGAACCGUAAUGCCAUUAAUUUAGUGUUGCGGGGAAACAGGACUGUUACUUUGAAAAAAUUAGAGUGUUUAAAGCAAGCUAACGCUUGAAUACACUAGCAUGGAAUAAUGAAAUAGGACGAUCGAUCCUAUUUUGUUGGUUUCUAGGAUUGACGUA